AUCCUCACUUCCAGGGGCAGGGCUGAGCUGCAUCACCAAGGGAACUUUUGGAUGCUCCUGCGUUUGCUUGCUCAGUUUGCCUCUGUGGAGCUAUGAGACAGACAAGCAGUGCACCAAAAUGAUGGAGAAUUUCAAUUAUAAUAAGGGACUCCUUGCAGUCUUCCUGAUGUGAACUGCACCAGUAAAGCAUAAAAGCAGGGUAUGAAAGGAAAAGUUAAUCCUGGGAUCUUCAAAGCAAAACCCAGUGACUUCAGUCAAAAUUAUUUGGACAUGGGAAAAAUCCUGAUAACUACUGUCACACACAGAGUGACACAUGGACAUGUCCACUUACUUUGACUUUUGGGAAGUGGCAGAGGAGGAGGAAAUGCAAGUACCAGAUCAAAAGAGCAAGAGUUUUCAAGUUGUCAGCAUGACUGUUUACCCCAGCAGGAAAUCCUCCAAGAUUCACAGUUGUGUUUAGGAGCAUGGAAUAGGUGGUGGACAGCCCAAAGAUCCAGACACCACCUUAUGUUUCUAACCCUUUCUUGUAAUAGUAUCUCUUCUCAGUCUUUACCAUUUUGGACAGGUUUCUCAGAGGCUCAUCCUGUCUUAUUUUUAAUGAA